UACGGGGGGAGCAAGCGUUGUUCGGAUUUACUGGGCGUAAAGGGCGCGUAGGCGGCCAGCACAAGUCAGUUGUGAAAUCUCCGAGCUUAACUCGGAAAGGUCAACUGAUACUGUGCGGCUAGAGUGCGGAAGGGGCAACUGGAAUUCCUGGUGUAGCGGUGGAAUGCGCAGAUAUCAGGAGGAACACCGGUGGCGAAGGCGGGUCUCUGGGCCGAUACUGACGCUGAGGAGCGAAAGCGUGGGGAGCGAACAGG
rnacentral:rRNA from 1 species